rnacentral:tRNA from 1 species
GCGGGGGUAGUUCAGUGGUAGAACCUUAGCCUUCCAAGCUAAUGACGUGAGUUCGAUUCUCAUCACCCGCU